ACGGAUGAUGGCGACUACAACAUCAAGCUGCGCAACAUCCGCCGCUUCCUUGAAGAGGGCGACAAGGUGAAGGUCACGCUGCGCUUCAGAGGGCGUGAAAUCACCCACCAGAACCUGGGUCUGGACUUGCUCAGCCGCCUGCGCGAUGACUUGGCCGAUUCCAUCGUGGUGGAGCAAUUCCCCAAGCUGGAAGGCCGUCAGAUGAUCAUGAUGCUCGCGCCCCAGCGCAAGAAGGCUUCCGGCGGUGCAAGCGGUCAGGGCAACAAACCCCAGCAGCCGCGCAAUACACCGGA
rnacentral:misc_RNA from 1 species